rnacentral:rRNA from 1 species
CUGCAUGGCUGUCGUCAGCUCGUGUCGUGAGAUGUUGGGUUAAGUCCGUAACGAGCGCAACCCUUGUCCUUAGUUACCAGCACGUUAUGGUGGGCACUCUAAGGAGACUGCCGGUGACAAACCGGAGGAAGUGGGGGAUGACGUCAAGUCAUCAUGGCCCUUACGGCCUGGGCUACACACGUGCUACAAUGGUCGGUACAAAGGGUUGCCAAGCCGCGAGGUGGAGCUAAUCCCAUAAAACCGAUCGUAGUCCGGAUCGCAGUCUGCAACUCGACUGCGUGAAGUCGGAAUCGCUAGUAAUCGUGAAUCAGAAUGUCACGGUGAAUACGUUCCCGGGCCUU